AGCUUGCAGGGAGCUUCAUGUCUGUAAGGAUGAAGGGGUAGCACCACCGGUAGACCCGUCAUCUCAAGUGGCACUGCCUGAAUUUCUCACGAGGGCAUCACCCAGGUGUUCAGUGCUGGAUCCUCUCAUGUAUUUUAGGAUCAGGCCCUUCCCUGCAGGUAUCAGUGUGAGGUUCUAAAGGACCCCGGGGGCCCUUCCUGCCCAGGAUAAGGGAGGGCUUUGGUGUGGGGCAGAUGGAUAGAAAUACCUGUGUCGUACCUGGGUGACCAGUCACAAUAGCAGCUCUGAAAGUGAGACAACUAGUGUAAAGGACACGUCCUCAGGGAAACCCGGAUACUAACAGACAAAUGGCUUCAACAGAGGAGCCCCUGACAAAGAAGAUGCUGGACAUCCCUGUCCUUAACCCUCAGACUGGAGACGGAAAUUCUACGUGUCCUCGAGUGGCUUCCUACUCUUCUCACAGAACAGUCUUGGCUCCUUGACGUGGUGUGAGAAGCAGGAGCACGUCCCCCUGCCCCCGCACCUCCACAGUGAGUGAAGUGGCCCUGACUCGGCUUGGCUUCCGCCAUCCAUCAUGGAAGGCUUUGGCAGACCGCUGUGGAAACAAACUCCUAAAUAUUUUAAACAGAGACCAUGGCUGACAGGAGUCAAACUUUCUGUAUUAAGGGAGGAUUAAAACCUCAGCUAUUUCCAGUAAUUUAUUAUGCACCCGCUCAUAAACACAUUGCACUGGUCACGGAAUGUAUACGUGUAGCAGGCCCUCCAGAGACAGAUGAAGAACACUUCAAGGGCAUCAAGGGCACCCAGGUUCCAGCAUGGAAGCAGAGUCACAGUUGGCAACCUUUGCACAGGAAGUCCCCUGACUGUUGGUGACCUGUGUCCUGUGGGCCACUGUCUGGGAACCACUGCAUAUGGCAAAAGAGCAAGACCCUCUGGCCUUACUCAGACCCAUCAUUACAUUGUCCCCAAAAGUGACCCAUGUCAGCCUUCAAGGGCUCACGUUGAGAAAGGCAAUCUGUCUCAAGUGAGAAAAGCCAUCCAAGUGCCAAAUUAUUGAUGGACAGUCACCAUACCCAGUGUGCUGUGUCUGACUGUGGGCACCACACUUCAGGGGCAACAUUAGCCCCAAACGUGACACAUGCAGGGCAGAUGCGUCCAGACCAGAAGGGGACACAAACCAUGCGACACUGGGACAAAGGAACAGGAUUCACAUGGAUAGAAGGGGGGGGCACGCUUGCUGUCCGAAUGCUCUGGAGGUCGUGGAGAGGAAGGUUUUCCCAGGGUGGGGGCAGAAACCAGUGGUAAAGGGUGGUCGCCGUGAGAACAGAUUUAUGCUAAAAAGCCCAGGGGUGUGGGGGGAGUACUUCCUAACAGAGCUCUUGAGAAAGGGCUGAGCUCUCUGUCCCUGGAGACGCUCAAGCCUUCGCUGCACAGCUGUGCUGGAAGAACACUGCAGAAAAACUCCAGCGUCGGAUCACUGAAGGAAGGGACUAAGUUGUUUCCCCUGCAGGACCCUGUGAUGCCAUGCAUGGGGGACUUGAAUCUGAAGUUGGGGUGUGUGUGUGGUGUGGUGUGUGUGUGGUCUUGUAAUAGGGAAGAAUAAAUCUGACUCCAUAUUGGAUCUAUUUCUUUAGCUCCAACCUUUGUGCCCUGUUGCCUCUGCUUAGUCAUGCUGGCUCUGCACCUUUUGUAAAAGAAUGUUGCCUAUGGCUUGAAAUAUACAGGAUAGCCUGACCUUGACCUGACCUGAACAGAGAAUAACAGGAACGUGACCUGGCCUACUGGACAGCUUACAAGAACAAAGGAUCUGACACCAAGAAGUUUGCAACAACUAACCACACCCCUCCCUCACCUUGCCUUUAAAAGGGCUUUGCUGAUAGCUUUUCAGGAGUUUGGCCUUUUUAAGGCAUGAGCCACCUGUCUCCUUGCCUGGCCCCACAAUAAACCUCUCUGCUCCAAACUGUGAUGUUUCAGCAUUGUUUGGCCUGUGUAUUAGGCACACAGACUUGCGUUUGGUAACAAUUAUGGCGAGCCAGCCAGGAAUCUGUGCCUGUGGUGGGUGGACCCCGGCCAGGGACAGCCCCUUCCCAAGUUCCCAGCAGCUGCUGGAGCUCAUUUUGCUCCGGGGAACUGCAAGGGACUCUCCCUGAGAGGCGUCAGCUGUCCCAGUGCACAAGGCCACUUGGAGCAGAGAAACAUCCAGAGCUAUGGUCCACAUUUGGUGUCACUUGGGGGGGUUGAACCCGUGUCCCCUGCAGUGGAAGUGCAGAGUCUUAACCACUGGAUCACCAGCGAAGUCCCUCAGAUUAUACUGCUGAACUGGUCAUGCUGGCUCUGCAUCUUUUGUAAAAGAAUGCUGCCUAUAACCUGAAAUACACAGGACAGCCUACAGGAUAACCUAACCUUGACCUGACCUGAACAGAGAAUAACAGGAACAUCAGGACCUGACUGUGACCUGGCCUACGUAGACAGUUACAUCCAACAACACAAAGACGUUUGCAACAACUAACCACGCCCCUCCCUCAUCUUGCCUUUAAAGGGCUUUGCUAAAAGCCUUUGGGGAGUUCCAGCUUUUUAAGGCAUAAGCCACCCAUCUCUUUGCCUGGCCCUGCAAUAAACAUUUCUCUGCUCCAAA